GACGAACGCUGGCGGCGUGCUUAACACAUGCAAGUCGAACGAAGAGCGAUGGAUGCUUGCUUCUAUCAAUCUUAGUGGCGAACGGGUGAGUAACGCGUAAUCAACCUUCCCUUCAGAGGUGGACAACAGUUGGAAACGACUGCUAAUACCGCAUACGCUCUAAUCUCGGCAUCGAGGAUAGAUGAACGGUGGCCUCUACAUGUCAGCUAUCACUGAAGGUGGUGAUUGCGUCUGAUUAGCUAGUUGGAGGGGUAACGGACCACCAAGGCGAUGAUCAGUAGCCGGUCUGAGAGGAUGAACGGCCACAUUGGGACUGAGACACGGCCCAGACUCAUACGGGAGGCAGCAGUGGGGAAUCGUCCGCAAUGGACGAAAGACUGACGGAGAAACGCCGCGUGAGGGAUGACGGCCUUCGGGUUGUAAAGCUCGGUUAAUCGGGACGAAAGGCCUUCUUGCGAAUAGUGAGAAGGAUUGACGGUACCGGAAUAGAAAGCAACGGCUAACUACGUG
rnacentral:rRNA from 1 species